CUGCCAGGACAGGAGCCGGGGACGGGAAGGGAGCGACAUUUCCAGGGCUGUCCUUCCCCACGGCAUAUGCAUCUGUCUAACGUCACAUUGUACUCCUGCACAGCUUCCAUAAAGUCGAGUUUCCCUCCUCAUUUCCACCAGCCUUUUCAGAGACCAGUGCCUCCGGAUCUCACACCCUCCCAAAGAGCACUUGGUUUGGUGAGGCUGAGCAAGCCCUCUCUUCCCAAGGCCCGGUGGCACUUCCCAGCCCUGCUUCUCAGGGCCAGCACGCUGGAGGGGUCAUCCAGGGCUCCCUUGACGCAAGCCUGGAAGUUGCAGGUUUUACAGAGCAGGAGAACAGGGAGGGAAAGCGGCCAGACACAGUUAAUGAGGAAAACACAAGCCACCCACUCUUGGAUGACACAUUCACUUCUCAAGCUGUGGCCAGGUGUCAGAGACAGAGAGGUCACAGUGUUGGCAAGAGGGAAGCUGUGUCAGAACACCGAAGUGAUCUCCCUGAACUCGAGCUCGUCACCCACUCCAAGCCUCUACUAACAUGUGUCCUGUACCUCAGCUUCCUGCCGUGGAGCCGAGGGGUGUCAGCAUUUACAUGGCUCAUUUCGGCCUGUGGUAUGUGAUGCAGGCGGCAGCAGCUGGACACGGCGGCAUUGUGGGUCUCCAGUCCCGCUCCGUGGGCCGGGGGCCUUGCUAAACCACUGUGUGGUCCGGCGCUCCAUGCAGCGUUAGGGGACCGCUCUUCCCAAGUUUUGGAUCCCAACAACAGCACAUAAAGCUGCCAAGAGCAUUCGAAAGGAAAGCAAAACCAACCAAAACAAACAGAAUAAAGUCUACUGUUAUUUUAAGAAAAAAAUCCUGAAAAAUUUCUUGACCCAAAUCAAAUAUGUCCGAGGGCGUGGUCAAGGACAUGGACAUGGGGUGAGUGUGUACACUUCCCCGUGUCAGAGCAGGAAAUGACAGAGGCCGCUGGAACCACGCGCUCACAGACUGAACCACACUUCCCAGCGCUUGCUCGGCCCUGGAUCCUGUCCUUACUGCUUCCCACUGGCCCCACGCUGCUGGUGUACUGCACUCCGGGUGUGAAAAGGCAAACUUCCGCUCUGCACACUCAGGAAACGUGCAGUGCAUGUGUCAGGUGCUUUUCCUGCAAGUCUCAUUUCAGAUACCUGGCGGCAUCUACCCCUCCACACACAUAAACACACACACGUUUCAAGGCUACGCAUCUAAUCUGGGCCCUCGAAAGUAGCCUCCUACGCAAGUCUCUUAUGUUAAAAAACUACUCCUAGGGUUUGGGUGAACUCCCUCCCGCUUCAUUUCCUGCUGUGGUCAGGAGGGGAGCGCUGUCCAGGGAAGCAGUGUCAGAAGGGAUUCGGAAGGACAGGUGCUCCUCACCCCAAAGGGCCACACACACGCAUGACACAGAGACACAGAGAGAUACCCACGCUCGCACACUUUUGUUCUACUGUGUGACGCUGCACUUUGUCUGUGACUCAGGAGCGUGUCACCCACAGCAGGCUGGAGACACGGCUAACAACCCUGUGACGCGUCCCGCACCAUCUGCACGCACACCUGGAGCUUCCCCUUUCUCUUUUCUCCACGUGACUGAAAGGGCUGAGCCCUCCGGCGGUGGAACCUGGACUGUGGUCUGCAGGAGGCCUUUGGACCUGUGUGUGUCUGGGAGCGGGGAGGGGUAAACACUGUCAACCACGGCUUUCCAAAGGUGCAUGGUGCAGAAACACCACUGCCAUGGAGGCAUCCGGAGGUCGCUCGGUGCCUGUGUCAGUUCUGAGAGGCGAGGAGGACGCCCCUGCGCCUCGGUCUGCAGAGACCCAGUUCCCAGCCCUGCUGCCUCUUUCCAGAACACAAGGGCACCUGGAGCUCGACUUUGAUUCAGCCAUAGCAGUGUUAAUGCCUUUUACCACAACGGUUGUUGUUAUUUCCUUAUCGUUAUUUUCUGUUCAUCUAGGCUCAAACACAUGCUAUACUUCAUAUGUGAAUGCAUGUGUAUAUUUACACAUAACCAUGCAGAUGAGCAUGUGUGUACGUGUGUGCUGUAGUUACACCCUAUUCUUUGUGGAGUGACUAUUAAAAGACAGGACAUUAGUACUGAGAAAGAUAAAAUCAGCAAGCAUUCUCAAGCGACGCCUGCCAUAACGUACCAAUGUCACACAGCACACACCCUGCUAGCUCCCUUUCACAGAUACGCGCAGCACAUUUUCUCCUCUCAAAGCAUGAAAUACAAUGGAAGCCAUAAAACCC